UUACCAGACUCCUACGGGAGGCAGCAGUGGGGGAUAUCGCACAAUGGGGGGAACCCUGAUGCAGCGACGCCGCGUGGGUGAAGGAGUGCUUCGGCAUGUAAAGCCCUAUCGGCAGGGAAGAAGCAAGACGGUACCUGACUAAGAAGCCCCGGCUAACUACGUGCCAGCAGCCGCGGUAAUACGUAGGGGGCGAGCGUUAUCCGGGUUCACUGGGUGUAAAGGGAGCGUAGACGGCCAUGCAAGCCAGGGGGGAAAGGCCGGGGCCCAACCCCGGGACUGCUCUUGGAACUGCGUGGCUGGAGUGCAGGAGGGGCAGGCGGAAUUCCUGGUGUAGCGGUGAAAUGCGUAGAUAUCAGGAGGAACACCGGUGGCGAAGGCGGCCUGCUGGACUGCAACUGACGUUGAGGCCCGAAAGCGUGGGGAGCAAACAGGAUUAGAUACCCGAGUAA
rnacentral:rRNA from 1 species